rnacentral:rRNA from 1 species
UAGGGAAUCUUCGGCAAUGGGGGCAACCCUGACCGAGCAACGCCGCGUGAGUGAAGAAGGUUUUCGGAUCGUAAAGCUCUGUUGUAAGAGAAGAACGUGUGUGAGAGUGGAAAGUUCACGCAGUGACGGUAACUUACCAGAAAGGGACGGCUAACUACGUGCAG